GAAAAUUUGCACACACUUAUUUCGGUGCAAAAUAAAAACUCGCUAUGAGACGACAAUUUGACACUGUUUACGCCGGCUAAGUCAGUUUUCAACUAAAUUUUCGCACGCAGUUCGUACAGUUAAUACGGUCAAGCUAAAUGUUCAAAGUCGAUUUUGACUUUCGGUUUGGCUCCGAUCGCCUUUAUUAUUAUUUUUUUCAUUUUCCAUUAAAUUAACAAACAACGA